UCAAGAGCAUAAUGAAACCAGAACAUGGGGGAGUUUAGAAUUCAGUCUGAUUUCAAUUUGUCUAUUCUUUGAAAACCACGGUCUGGUUUCAGCCAUACCGGUCUUGGAUAGCUGAAUUAAAACAACAGAAAGACAAGUCCUAUCCAUCCGUGGAGCAGAGCUGUUUCCUUCUAAGAACAAUAAACUGCGGGGGAAGGCGGGGUAGUGUUUCACCCGUGAGGCUCACCAGCAGAAGACAGUGAUGGACACUGUAAACAGAUGCAGCAGAUUUUGUGUUGUGUCUGAAGUCUCAGUUUUUCUGUGGGUGAGGCUUAGAAUUGAUAACUACUGAAGACUUCUUUCCCAGGAGUUUUGGACCACGGAGCUGACACACCAGGGGCAAUGGUUACUGGAUUCCCUCUGUGCUCAGACUUAGACACUAAGGACAUACAUUCAGAAAAUACAAAGACUGCAUCCGAUAUGAAGCCAAACUACUAUCUGCUGGCGAGGUCAUGUUGCUUUAUCAUGAACAGCAAGAGGCAUACUUUACAGGUCUGGUUCCAAUGAAUUUAGGGCCCUGAUAGAUCACUUUUUCUAAUGAAAUUUCCCUCAUGAUAUUUAUUUUUAAUAUCUUGGCUGUGGUUUCAGUAUGCAUAUGUCUAAACUUGUCAACCUGUGAGCAGCAAAUAUGUGCAGCUUGUGUAUCUGGA